rnacentral:rRNA from 1 species
GACGAACGCUGGCGGCGUGCCUAAUACAUGCAAGUUGAGCGCUGAAGGUUGGUACUUGUACCAACUGGAUGAGCAGCGAACGGGUGAGUAACGCGUGGGGAAUCUGCCUUUGAGCGGGGGACAACAUUUGGAAACGAAUGCUAAUACCGCAUAAAAACUUUAAACACAAGUUUUAAGUUUGAAAGAUGCAAUUGCAUCACUCAAAGAUGAUCCCGCGUUGUAUUAGCUAGUUGGUGAGGUAAAGGCUCACCAAGGCGAUGAUACAUAGCCGACCUGAGAGGGUGAUCGGCCACAUUGGGACUGAGACACGGCCCAAACUCCUACGGGAGGCGGCAGUAGGGAAUCUUCGGCAAUGGACGAAAGUCUGACCGAGCAACGCCGCGUGAGUGAAGAAGGGUGUCGGAUCGUAAAACUCUGUUGGUAGAGAAGAACGUUGGUGAGAGUGGAAAGCUCAUCAAGUGACGGUAACUACCCAGAAAGGGACGGCUAACUACGUG